rnacentral:rRNA from 1 species
AUUGAACGCUGGCGGCAUGCCUUACACAUGCAAGUCGAACGGCAGCACGGGAGCAAUCCUGGUGGCGAGUGGCGAACGGGUGAGUAAUAUAUCGGAACGUGCCCAGUCGUGGGGGAUAACGCAGCGAAAGUUGUGCUAAUACCGCAUACGAUCUAUGGAUGAAAGCGGGGGAUCGCAAGACCUCGCGCGAUUGGAGCGGCCGAUAUCAGAUUAGGUUGUUGGUGAGGUAAAAGCUCACCAAGCCUGCGAUCUGUAGCUGGUCUGAGAGGACGACCAGCCACACUGGAACUGAGACACGGUCCAGACUCCUACGGGAGGCAGCAGUGGGGAAUUUUGGACAAUGGACGCAAGUCUGAUCCAGCAAUGCCGCGUGAGUGAAGAAGGCCCUCGGGUUGUAAAGCUCUUUUGUCCGGAAAGAAAAGCGCCGGGUUAAUACCCUGGUGUCCUGACGGUACCGGAAGAAUAAGCACCGGCUAACUUCGUG